ACGGUGGCGAUGAUGAGAGAACUCAUCUCAGCCUCGACUACGGCUGCAUUCCGUUUGUCUUCUCCCCCGCUCGUUUCCUCUCCUCCUCCGACACUACCGACAACGGAUCAUUGUCCUCAUCCGAACAAGUUAAGACAGCUCAGAGGCUCUUUCAAAUCCUCAAGUUUUGAGAGUGCUGGUGGUGUUUGUGAUCCAGUUCCAGCAGUUUCAGCAUCUCCUGUAUAGCGGCCUGAAGAGCUCUGCCCAGGUCCUGGCUGCUGUAGGGUUUUCCAAGUGGAGGCACAUGGAUGAAGGCAGAGUGGCCCUGCCCCAGGACAGAGUGUAUGCAGUCGGGGCCGCUGUCCAUGCAGCACUGGGAAGCUGGGCAGAAGCUGCAGUUGUCCAGGCGCUUGUAACCCUUGUUGUGGCCGCACUGCUCCAGAGUGACAGUGGUGGUUAACCCAGAAACACCGACAUGGACCAUCAGCUGCUCAAAACACCCCAAAAUACAGAGAGACGGCAGUAUGCCCUGAACAGCCUGGUAUUCAACAGGCACCUCACACACAUGAAGGUCUACUGCUUCACCCAGCCCCAAUCGCUCCAGUUCCUGAGCACAGGAAACAUAUUUAUUAAAAUCGCAGUCUUAAAGGGUUUUAAAUGCCCACAAUGAAACAAAAUUACAACCCCUUAAAUCAGGUGGGGAUUUUUUUAAUAUAAAAAUAAAUCAACUUUAAGUGUAUUUUGGUAAUCAUGAAAUGUACUUCCCUAUUUAAAUGUCAUAUUUAGAUCAAAGUCCUUAACUGGAACUUUUGUUAAAAAUGGACAGCCUGGAUACUGAUUACCUGUACUGCCACCCAGCUGGAGUUCACCGCAUGCUUUCCAAAAGGCUCAAACCCUACGUACAAAGAGACACAGUGCAGCUAGUAAAUAAUAAAGUCAGUGAAGAUGCUUAUCUCAUUUGGACAUAGGUUAUAUGGGUGGAUGUAAAAAAAGGACUCGUAAUUCAAAGUCCAAAGGUUGCAAGUUAAACAUUAAUUGCAGUAGUAGCAGAGACAAAUAAUUAUUUCUUUCUCGCAGUUAAGCAGCAAAAACAGAUGACACAUAUUGUUAUUCAAUCUCCUUCUAAUGCAUAUCUGUGUUCCCUUAUCUAAAACCAGCGCAUAAAAAAACAUUCUGACUGCAGCAUUACUCUCUGCAAAACAUCAGUGUCAUUACAUAUUUACAAUAUGAAUACAACCAUUAAAGUGCAGCUCAGACAGAUGGAAAACUAUAAGGGCUGCAACAGCACUGCAUUGACAAUGAAAACAUAUUUGUUUUAUCCAAUCUUUUCACCAAUUAA